rnacentral:lncRNA from 1 species
ACCAUAUCUCUGGUCAAUGUGAGAAUUUUAACAUGCUAUUCAAAUUCCUAUACAUUUUUUAAUUUAGAACUGAUUACCUCACCAAAUUAUUGAAAUCAGUAUAACAGAUACGUAAACCAACGGGUGUUUGGUUCAAGUGGUACAUGUUUGAUUCCUCUUUAGUAAGGUCGGGUUCGAGUCUAGACUAACAACAGGCAUUUAGCAAUGACCUUUUCAAGAGAUAAUGUCAGAAUCAAUUACCUAGCCCAGAGAGAUCAAAUAUCUCAUUAGGUCUGAUUACUUAUACAAGCACCAAAUUUAUUUUUAAGCUCUUUGGAGUAUAGUCUAGACUUAUCCCAACAGUACAAAAAAAAUAUCUGAUUAUUUAACGAUAAGAAACUUCUAAGCUAGUGGCGUUAAAGAUAUGCUCUAAAAUCCUCCAUUUCAACAUAUGUCAUGUUGGAAGUCUUAAUUGUUUAAACUCAGUUGAUCUCAAAUUUAAUCACCAUCUCCAGCUAAUUUAUAAUAUAAUGAGGGGGUGGUGGUUGUAAUGUGAAUCCAUCAUGAAACUAAUGUUGGGUACCAGAGUAGCAGGAUAAUAUCACGCAACUAAAAUAAGAGAUGAGAGAGUAGGAAAUUGACACACAAUAAUUACGUGGAAAACCCUCAACAGAUAAGGGAAAAAACCACGGGCACCGGUAGAAAAGAUUUUCACUAUGUGGAAGAAAUUACAACAGCUCUAUAGAACAAGAAAACACUCACUAGGAGAACCUCACCAAGGGAAACACUAAUAUUUUCCUCCUGGAAUUUUUCUCUCUAAUAGCAAUUCACGUUGAAUUGCUUAUUGUGGUGUAUAUUCUCUCUAACAAUUCAGCUAUGGGAUGUUGGGAU